ACUGCCUACGGGGCGCAGCAGUGAGGAAUAUUGGUCAAUGGACGAGAGUCUGAACCAGCCAAGUAGCGUGGAGGAUGACUGCCCUAUGGGUUGUAAACUUCUUUUAUAUGGGAAUAAAACGUUCCACGUGUGGGAUUUUGUAUGUACCAUAUGAAUAAGGAUCGGCUAACUCCGUGCCAGCAGCCGCGGUAAUACGGAGGAUCCGAGCGUUAUCCGGAUUUAUUGGGUUUAAAGGGAGCGUAGGUGGAUUGUUAAGUCAGUUGUGAAAGUUUGCGGCUCAACCGUAAAAUGGCAGUUGAAAAUGG
rnacentral:rRNA from 1 species